rnacentral:rRNA from 1 species
UACGGGGGGAGCAAGCGUUGUUCGGAUUUACUGGGCGUAAAGGGCGCGUAGGCGGCGCAACAAGUCACUUGUGAAAUCUCCGGGCUUAACCCGGAGCGGCCAAGUGAUACUGUCGUGCUAGAGUGCGGAAGGGGCUACUGGAAUUCUCGGUGUAGCAGUGAAAUGCGUAGAUCUCGAGAGGAACACCAGUGGCGAAGGCGGGUCUCUGGACAACACCUGACGCUGAGGCACGAAAGCCAGGGGAGCAAACGGG